rnacentral:rRNA from 1 species
UUUUUAUUGUUUUUAUAAUAAAUAUAACCUGCUCAAUGUUUUAUAAAUAGCCGCAGAAUUUUUACUGUGCUAAGGUAGCAUAAUCACUUGCCUUUUAAUUGAAGGCUUGUAUGAAAGGUAUCACAUUUAAGUACCUUUUUUUACUAUUUAUGUUAAUUUAUAUUAAAUAUAAAAAUAUAUUUAUUUUUAAAUUAGACGACAAGACCCUAUUGAAUUUUACUUUAGUUUAGCUGGGGAAGCUGAUUAACUAAUAUUUUAAUUAUAUAAUUUUAUUACAAUGAACCAAUUAAAUUGGGAAAAGGAAUAAAUUACCAUAGGGAUAACAGCGUAAUUUCUUUUUAAAGCUCUUAUUGAAAAAGAAGAUUGCGACCUCGAUGUUGAAUAAUAUUUCUUAUAAACGCAGUAGUUUCUUAAGAAAGUCUGUUCGACUUUUAAAAUAUUACA